rnacentral:misc_RNA from 1 species
AAGUCGUAACAAGGUUUCCGUAGGUGAACCUGCGGAAGGAUCAUUAACAUAUUCCAACUCUACACGCGUCUUUGGGAGAGGGUUAACCAGCCGCGUUCAUCCGCCGGUUGGGACAUCCUUUCCCACUCAUAAAAGAGACACACACUUUUUAUCCACCUUUGACAACAAAACACCAAUAGCACCCUCGUUAAGAGAGUACUGUUACAGACAUAUACACACACCAUAUAUAUAACAAUAUGUGGUGGUGGUAAAGUCAUAUAAACAACUUUUAACAAUGGAUCUCUUGGCUCUU